GAAUUUUAUUUGUUUUGGAUUCUCGGGGCGACGGGGCGUGGAUGUAUCCAAUCUCCCCCAUGUGUGCGCCUUUGCGUUUGGCUUAACUUUUGCUAGCUCAUGAUUAGAUUAACCCGUAAUCGACACAUAUGGGUCCUGGGGACCCGUGGAAAUUUUAAUUUCGCUCUACGUCAGUGAGGGUUUGUAGCACUGGCCCAGCCAUCCAGCCUCAAUGCGGCCUUGGCUUUUCGCAAACCCGUCGGUUGACACCUCGAAGCUCAUCGUCCUAGUGCCAGCUUGCGAUCUCCCAGGGAACCAGCAUCCGACGGGGGUCCCCGCAGCCUCCGGGAAGGGGAUCCCUACGUGUACCGGCUCCAACCUCUGGAGCCGACCACAACCCCGUGUGGUUUCUCCAGAGACCCGGGUCGGCGUUGCUUGUCGUAGGAGCUAGCCGGCCCGAGGAAAGAGACUGUCAGAUGUGGGAGAUCCACACCACUCCGCACCUCCAGAUGCCACCGACUGCAGCUCGUACACUUUGUCCAGGGUGUCCACACAAAUAUUUAAUAAAAUUUCCCAGACCAAAUUUUAUAUUUUUUUAUAAACAAUUUACAAUUUUUUUGCAAUUUUCUGAAUGAAAAAAAAAACAUUUACCAUCCCCAUAUCUCUUUACAUUUUUUUUAGUUCAAACAGAAACUAUCUGGGGAAAAAAAACUUUCAGUCUGGGUGAAUUUACUCUCAAAUUACUAUGACUGGGGAAUUUCAAUGACUUUUCCAGGAUUUCAAGUAAAUUCCGAGAUGUGGCCACCCUGUUUUUAAUUUUUGGUUACAGUAUUUCAGUUUGUAAGUUACACUUCCGUCCUUUGAAUAUGCUGUUUGUUGUAAAGUGCUAAAGUCCUGAAUGCUGUAUAUAAUUAAAAAAUACUGCUUUGUGCAAAGAUAAGUCAUUUUGGUCUGUUAAACACGUGAGUCAAAUGGUUUUCAUUUAAAUAUAAAAACUCAAAAUAUUCAAUAAAAAAAAGUACAUA